CCAUUUCUUACUUUGCACGGCUUCUUCAAAGGUAACUGAUUCACAAUCAGCAAAUAGACAAAGAAGAGUUAGGUCUUCUAACCUUUCAGUGUCUUCAUAAAUGUCUUCCAAACUCCUUGCUCGUUCCUCGCUCCUUUCAUUCAGAAACGAUGGUGGCGAGUCAUCUUGAACUGCUGUUGGCGAGGUAGGUGGAGUAGUUAGCUCUCGAUGGGCAUCCUCUGUUAGGUCUUCUAACCUUUCAGUGUCUUCAUAAAUGUCUUCCAAACUCCUUGCGCGUUCCUCGCUCCUUUCAUUUAGAAACGAUGGUGGCGAGUCUUCUUGAAUACUGUUGGCGAGGUAGGUGGAGUAGUUAGCUCUUGCUAGGCAUCCUCUGCUGUAGAUCUUUGUUCUUCUCUUCGGUUGGAAUAAUGGAAUUAAAGUCCUCAUGUGAACCAAAAUUCCAUUCUCCUUCUUCAUCAAACUCCACGUCCCAACUUAUCACAAGCUUGUUAGUAUCUGGAUUACAUAAUUUGUAGCCUUUGGAGUUGGAAUCAUACCCGAUAAAGAUGAACGCCUUACUUUUGUCAUCGAGCUUGCUCCGUGUCUCGUCAGGUACAUGUGCGUNNNNN
rnacentral:lncRNA from 1 species